UACGCAGACGGCUGUAAAGGUCGGGUGUGAAAGCCCGGGGCUCAACCCCGGAAAUGCAUCCGAAACCGUGCAGCUCGAGUAUGAGAGAGGGGAGCGGAAUUCCUGGUGUAGAGGUGAAAUUCGUAGAUAUCAGGAGGAACAUCUGUGGCGAAGGCGGCUCCCUGGCUCAUUACUGACGUUCAGGUACGAAAGCGUGGGUAGCAAACA
rnacentral:rRNA from 1 species